UCUACAAAGAGUAGUCUGUGGCAGAACUCUUGGGAGGAGAGCUUUCAAGUGUGGUUGACUCCUAUAUGUUCCUAAAGAAUUCAUAACAUAUUCAUAAAUAAACAUAAAACAGUAUGGGGGACUCAGGAUGAGAUGGCACAAACCUGUUAUCCCCAGGUGAGAAGACAGGAGAAUUCGGUGCGAUCACAUGAUUGGGUAUCCCUCACUCAGUCUGGAAGUACAGAAGAGGCUACUCAUGGGCCUGAUCCCACUACUGAUUGGUACAGGGAGCUUUGACCUGCUCCAUUUCUGCCUUGGGCCAGUUCAUCUCUCUAUAGGCAAAAUUUUGGUCCUCCAAUCCUGGGAGUGGGGGAAACCCCACUACGCUGAUGCCAGACUUAAUGAAGACACAAUCAUAGCCCACUGCAGCUCAGAACUCCAGAGCUUAAGGGAUCCAUGAGACUCGGCAUCCCUUAUAGCUGAGAUUAUAGGCAUUUGCCAAUAUG